GUUUGAUCAUGGCUCAGAACGUACGCUGGCGGCACGCCUAACACAUGCAAGUCGAACGAAGUAGCAAUACUUAGUGGCAGACGGGUGAGUAACAUGUAGGUAUCUGCCCUUUGGCCUGGAAUAACACGAGGAAACUUGUGCUAAUACCGGAUAAGUCUUUACGGAGAAAGCUUUAUGCACCAUUGGAUGAGCCUGCACUUGAUUAGUUUGUUGGUGGGGUAAUGGCCUACCAAGACUGUGAUCAAUAGCUGAUUUGAGAGGAUGAUCAGCCACAUUGGGACUGAGACACGGCCCAAACUCCUACGGGAGGCAGCAGUGGGGAAUCUUGCACAAUGGAGGAAACUCUGAUGCAGCGAUGCCGCGUGAGUGAAGAAGGCCUUUGGGUUGUAAAGCUCUUUCGUCGGGGAAGAAAAUGACUGUACCCGAAUAAGAAGGUCCGGCUAACUUCGUGCCAGCAGCCGCGGUAAUACGAAGGGACCUAGCGUAGUUCGGAAUUACUGGGCUUAAAGAGUUCGUAGGUGGUUGAAAAAGUUGGUGGUGAAAUCCCAGAGCUUAACUCUGGAACUGCCAUCAAAACUUUUCAGCUAGAGUAUGAUAGAGGGAAGCAGAAUUUCUAGUGUAGAGGUGAAAUUCGUAGAUAUUAGAAAGAAUACCAAUUGCGAAGGCAGCUUUCUGGAUCAUUACUGACACUGAGGAACGAAAGCAUGGGUAGCGAAGAGGAUUAGAUACCCUCGUAGUCCAUGCCGUAAACGAUGUGUGUUAGACGUUGGAAAUUUAUUUUCAGUGUCGCAGCGAAAGCGAUAAACACACCGCCUGGGGAGUACGACCGCAAGGUUAAAACUCAAAUGAAUUGACGGGGACCCGCACAAGUAGUGGAGCAUGUGGUUUAAUUCGAAGAUACGCGCAGAACCUUACCAACACUUGACAUGUUCGUCGCGACUUUAAGAGAUUAAAGUUUUCGGUUCGGCCGGACGAAACACAGGUGCUGCAUGGCUGUCGUCAGCUCGUGUCGUGAGAUGUUGGGUUAAGUCCCGCAACGAGCGCAACCCUCACUUUUAGUUGCCAUCAUUUAGUUGGGCACUCUGAAAGAACUGCCAGUGAUAAGCUGGAGGAAGGUGGGGAUGACGUCAAGUCCUCAUGGCCCUUACGUGUUGGGCUACACACGUGCUACAAUGGUAUCUACAACAGGAAGCAAAACUGCGAAGUUAAGCAAAUCCUUAAAAGAUACCUCAGUUCGGAUUGCACUCUGCAACUCGAGUGCAUGAAGCUGGAAUUACUAGUAAUCGUGGAUCAGCGUGCCACGGUGAAUGCGUUCCCGGGUCUUGUACACACCGCCCGUCACACCAUGGGAGUUGGUUCUACCUUAAGGCAAGGUUUUAAACCCUUGACCACGGUAUAGUCAGCGACUGGGGUGAAGUCAUAACAAGGUAACCG
rnacentral:rRNA from 1 species